ACAGAAAUAAAAUGCCAAAGGUGAUGUUUCAAAGUGUGCAUUUCUUUUCAUAAAUAUUCAGGGUUAUAGUUUUUGUUCUUUUAACAAGUUGGAGAAAAAUACUGUCAAGUACACUGAAGCAAAAAAGGAUCCAAAAGAAAAACAUCUGGCAAAACCAAGCAUUUUGAACAUGUCAACUUAUGGUUGACUGUCCUACUCUCCUACUCUCAAAAUGCAAAUGUUACGUGAAAUGAAAAGAGAGACUGUGGAGUAUCAAAAAGAAGCAAAUAAAAAGCAUGUGGCUACUUCCCAACUCUACAAAGGGUGUUCGAGCUCAGGUAGGACUGAGCAAAGAGGUUAGUACCUUUUUAAACUUCACAAUCAUUUUCCUCUUCAGACACUUGGU
rnacentral:lncRNA from 1 species